GAACUUCUUAUACUAGCUUGGCUUUGGAACCAAAGGAUGAUUUAAAUCAUUGGAAUUAUAAGGAUUUGCACUCUUGUGGAAAAAAUUUUUACCAUUGAUUUAGUAAUCAAGAAAUGCAUUAUUUAAGAGUAAGUUGGAACCAUUAAAGCUUGAUGUGCUCCCAGCAUGAAAAAUUUCAGAAUAUGUCUAUAAUUUCUGAAUUAUGCCAGGUAUUAGUUACAACAAAUAAGUCAACAAAAUUAUAUAUAAUUGACCAGCUGAUGUCUUGUUUUAACUAUUCCUUCCCUGUUGCCACGGCAACUACGGAGCGGAGCAUUUCGCUAUUAAGCAUGUUAGAAUGUCAUUCGUAAGAAGAGGAGGAUGAGUUCUUGAAGAUUUUAUGGUUAUCUACAUCGAAAGCAAUUUUCUGCAAUGAUUGAUUCGGUUCCAUAAGAGAUGAUUUCUAUUCUAUUGAAAAAACCGUCGAGCACAAACUCAAUAGUUUACUUUCAGGAUGUAAUUUUUGAAUAUUUACGUUAUUUUGGACAAAUAUUGACUUAUUAGUUAUUAAUUUGAUUAGCUUAUGUAAACUUUGCAUAUUCAUAUUCAGGAAUUUUUUUUUCUGUAGUUUAUUAAUUUUGACAUAUCCCAAAGGGAGUUGAAAUUCCUGGCUCCGCCCAUGGUGGAGGCUAAUACCUAAUGUUAGGGUGAAGAUCAGAUAUAUAUGUGUGAAGGGUGAAAAUUAAUUAUGCAAAGUGCAAGUAACUAAUCAAACUAUGUGUGGGGUAGGGGAACUAUAUGUUCUAUACAAUAAACUAGGAUUAUUCACGGGUCAAAUAAACUACGUGUUAGUUCAAGUAAACUAUGUAUAGAGUACAAGUAAUUUUCUAUGGUGCUAGUGAUUUAACAAAUACUAUAGCUUGCAAAAUGGUUCUUUUCUUGUGAAAUUAACUGAGCAAUUUGCAAUUCUAUAUUGAUCCAAAAACCUAUGUACUCUCUUUGUCUCAUUUUAUUUAUUAAAUAUUUUUAUUCUACUUUGAAAAAUCAAUUAUCAAAAUAUUACAGAUUUUAUCUUUUACUCUAUCUUUUGAAUUGAUUUGACAGUUCUAUUUUUUUUUAGAUAUUUUUAAAUUAUUGAAAGGCAAUUUUGUGAAGUUCAAAUUCCUAAACUUUGACCAAGGAUGAAAAAAUUCAAUAAAAAAAAAAAAAUUCAACUUGGGUGAAAAAAUCUCAGACAAUGCCAAUGUUAGAUAAUAGAGUAGAAAAGCAAAGAAUAAUUGUUGUCAAUUGUCAUUUAUUCUAAAGUAAAUAUUUUAUGUGAUAAAUAUUUAACUUCGAGAAUUGAUUGCAAAUGUCCAUGUAGUUCAUGGAUUAGUUUCGAUUAGUUGCCUCUGUUUGAUUUAUUUUUUUAAGUGUCUCAUGCAAGUGAGUGCAAAUUUAACAUAUUUCACUCGCACCAAACACAUCCCCUUGCACUUAAAAAUUGCACAAUUGCAAGUUCACAAGGCGUGGCUAUGGGCGUUGGAGAUUUUCUUGAUGGAGUUUCGAUCAAGGGAGUUGCAGUGUAGGGUUUGGAACAAGUUUUAAUCCACCUUUUACGAGUCGACCCUUCAACCAAAUUUUCUCUCAAAAAAAAUUUGAAGUUCUAUUCUAGAAUGAAGAGCAAACAGAAUACAUAUGCAUGUAUAUACAUGGUACAAAAAGAGCUGGAUGGAAGUAUAGGGUGCCAUGAGAUUUGAAUAUGGCUCACUCAAGCCAUUAAUCUUAUUAUUUCAAAUUCAAAAUUGGCUUUGUAUGUGUAUUUGCAUCAAAAUGUGUUACAAGACCGUCUACCCAAUACGUAUCCCAGCUCUCCUGCAGCUGCAACCCAUGCAGGUAGCAGGGUCACAGGACAGGAAAAUAGCCCACGUGAGACUGUUUCCUCCUCCAUGUUCCAACCUCUGUCACAUGAUUCAAGCAUGAACAUGUAUGUUUUAUAUAUUUUCGCUUUAAUGAAUUUGUGAAAAUCAUGAUAGUUCAAGAUGUUAGAAUUUGGGUCAAUUUGAAUGAGAAAUUAUUUCUCAAAUUACAAAGGAAAAUUACAUUUUCUUUCCUGAAUUUUUCUUUUCUUAUCAAAUGAUCACAACAUUUAAGAUUAUGCCAAAUGGUGCUUUUCUGGCUGAAUGGGUGCCUAUACCUCUUCUAAGAGGUGUGAUCAUCCAAAAAGCGUCAUACCUCUUCUAAGAAGUGCGAUAAUUUCUAUUUAAAUCCAUGAUCAUUCAUCAUUUAGGAGACAUUAUUAAUUAAAAAUUGAAAGUGUUAAAAGUGCAUAACAUCAUUCUGCAUUUUAGUAUAUAUUUAGAGAGAGAGAAAACACUUAAAGGUCUGCCGUAACUUCUAAUUUGUAGUACUUACUAUCAGAAGAUUCGAAACUGUUGUAAAUCCUCUGAUCCUGGGAGUCCGUUAACGCAUAUUCCGUGAGUACCAAGUGCGAUUCCCGUUAAACGUUUAAGAAUACUGAUCUAAUUCAGGACUCACCAUAUCAAAUCUCUAUUCCUUAUUUAUUUUAUAAGUUCAUUAUUUACAUUUAUUCUUUCUUCUUAUUUUUCUGUGUUUAAAGAAUUUUACAAUUUUUAUUUAAAACUUUCUGUUUAUGUUACAGAAAAAUCAACACUUUUUUUCUAACACAAGAUUCUAGAUUCAUGAGUUGUUAAUCAAAUAACAACAUUAAGAUUAUAUUUUACAUGUGGUAUCAGAGCACUGAUUAUGAACAUCAUAAUUUUUCAUUAAGAAUAAUUAAAUAUAUUCAAUUAAUUACGCUAUCAAUCUCGACGAACCUUCUAUUAUGUGAUUGAGGAAAAUCAUGUUGUGCAUUAUUAUGAUAUUUUGGUGAUGAUGCGUUAAAAGAUUCAUGAUGCAUUAUAAUGUAUUGUAAUAAGAGUUAGGUAUUUAUUGUUUUUGUUUAUAUACAUAUUAUAUAUAUAUAUAUAUAUAUAUAUAUAUAUAUAUAUUCAAUCCAAUUAUUUUAUUUUAUUUUAAUGACCAUCAUGCAUACAUACAUAUUACUUGGAUGAUAUUGUAGUAUGUCAUGAUGUUUUCAUAUUUUUAUCUAAGUUUUGAAAAAAAUAAAAACAUCUUUGCUUAACCAUUCGUUUUAUUUUUUUUGUUUAUAUGGUUUUUUUUUAAAAAAUUAAAAAAAAAUAUGUUUUCAUAUUCUUCUCGUCGUAAAAUCGAAAAAGUAUAUAAUUUAGAUAAACGGUAAAAAAAAUCACUAUUUUUUUUUCUAAAAUGAAAGCUACUAAAAAAACUAAAAAAAUAUAACUCAAAUAGGGAUUGAGACGUGAAAUGCUUAUAUGAGAAAACAACCAGUAUAUUACUAUUUUUGAAAAUUUUAUGGAAACAUCUUGAAUACUUUGUGAAAACGUUUCGGAUAUUUUUUUGAAACCUCUUUAAAACUCAAUUGAGAAGUGAAAGGCUUUUCAGCAAAAAUAAUCAAAUACAUUUUGGGGAGUGUAAUGGAAAUUUUCUAAAUACUUACGGAAAACUUUUCGGGUACUUUUUAGAAACUUUAAAGUAACUAAAGGAAAACUUGUAAUAAACUAUUUGGAAGCUUGCUGAAAUAUUUAUUGAAUUGUUUUUUUGAAGAAUCUGUAGCCAAUAUUAAAUAAUUCCUUCUAAACAUAUUCCCAAUAAUAAUAAUAAUAAUAAAAACUCGAUUGGUUUCUAAUUUUGAAACGAAAAAGAGUAAGAAUUUUUUUCUUUUACAUUUAAAAAUUUUUCUUUUAUAUUAUUCUCUCUUUCUUUCAUUUUUUUCUUUUUGUUUAUUUAAAUUAUUUUUUUUGUUUUAUUUCCUCUUUCUUUUAAAACUAAACAAAGAAAAAGCAUUUUUCAUUUUUAUUUGGCUUAAUUUCACAAACACCCCCUCAACUAUGCCUUUUAUCACUUUCACCCCUCAUUUAAAAAAUAAAUCAUAUUGAUCUCUUAACUAUUUAAUUGUACUACUUACACCAUUUUUAUUACUAAUCUAUUUGAAAUAGUAAUGAAAAUCGAUCACGUGUUGUCCAUGUGUUCUUAAAUUAAAAGCCUUUAUAUAUAAAAUAUUCUUAUUUUUUUAUAAAAAAUAAGUCAACGUUCUAUUUAAACUCUUAUUAAUAAAAGUUUUGUUUGUUUUCACAAUGCAAAAAAUAAGUCAACGUUCUAUUUAAACUCUUAUUAAUAAGAGUUUUGUUUGUUUUCACAAUGACUGAAUAAGAAUGUAUAUGGAGUAUUAACUUGUUUUUUAUAAAAAAAAUAGUGUUAUUUUAGGUAUAAGGGCAUUUAAUUUAAGCACAUAGAUAUCACGUGAUCGAUUUUCAUCACUAUUUCAAAUAAUUAGUAACGGAAGGGGUGUAUUAGUUAAGAGGAUCAAUAUGAUUCACUUUUUAGCUGAAGGGUAAAAGUAAUAAAAAACGAUAAUUUAGGAGAUAUUUGUGAAAAUAAGCCUUUAUUUUUAUUUCAUAUCGGUGCAAACCCAAACAAAGAGAAAUAAACGACCAUCUCUUUCAAUUACUUUUUGGACAUGAAUUCUCCAAACCUUUUGAACUUUGCUGUAAAGUUCGAUGAUUAUGAGUCCAUCUAGAAUUCAAAUUGUUGAUCCAAACUGUUUAUUUUACUGGAAGAGUUAAAAAGAUUGUAUAGGAAAACAAAAUAAAUGAUUGAAUAAAAAUAAUCAUAUAAUUGUAUGACAUUAGUCUUAAAAUAAAUGAAUGGUUAUCGAAUAAAACAAUCUGAGAAAAAGUGAUACGAUAUUAUGAUUAUCGAUAUUUGAUCAUCUUGAUUUUUAUUAUUAAUGAUCUUUUUAUCAAUUACUGCAAGUUGAAUGUGUGCGAUCACGUUUGGUAACUUUGUUACUUUUCUAAUUUCUAUGUUUGUUUAUUUUUGUUUAUUUUUGUUUAUUUUUUUAUAAAACAUAAAUUAAAAAUAUGUUUGUAUUAAUUUUUUUAAGACUAUUUAAAAAUUAAAAUAUGGAGGCAGCGACGGCAACGGCAAUGGAGACGUGACGC
rnacentral:lncRNA from 1 species